rnacentral:rRNA from 1 species
UACGUAGGGGGCUAGCGUUAUCCGGAAUCACUGGGCGUAAAGCGUGCGUAGGCGGUUUGUUAAGUGAGAUGUGAAAUCGUGUGGCUCAACCAUAUCGUUGUGUCUCAUACUGGCAAACUAGAGGAUAGCAGAGGCAAGUGGAAUUACGAGUGUAGCAGUGAAAUGCGUAGAGAUUCGUAGGAACACCAAUGGCGAAGGCAGCUUGCUGGGCUAUUUCUGACGCUCAGGCACGAAAGCGUGGGUAGCAAACAGG